rnacentral:lncRNA from 1 species
AGAAAGUGUAGAUUUGAGGUAAGCAAGUUGUUUAAUUUUGUAAUUUUCGUUUAUUUUGGUUCCUAAUGGUAUGUUGAAUAGAAUUAACGGUAAAAAUUGUGUAAAAGUUGAGUAUAAUUAGCUAUAAACCUGUUUUAGUUAAAAAUCACAAUUAAUUAAAGAUUAAAGUAUUUUAAGUUAAGUAUUUUAUUAAUGGUAAGAUCAGCAUAAAUCUUUGUUUAAUUUGGUUUGAUUGAAAAAUAGAUUAGUAAACAUGUGAUGAAUUGGGUUAUUUGGACACUUGGGAUUUGUUAAUAGGUUAGGCUUUAAGAAAAUCAAAAGAAUUAGUGUUUGGUAAUUAAUUAGGGAAAUUAAUAUGCAUUGUAAAUAUUGUUUAAUUCAAUUCAAAAUUUGAUCUGUAAACAUGUAGGAUAUAGAUUAGCGAAUGUGAGAAUUAAAAAUUUACAACAAUAAACUAUAUAAAUUUUCAUGGUUAGGAAACCUAAAUUAUGUUGUUUCAUUUCAGUUCCUCGUAAUAGGCAAAGAUCGCCUACUUAGAAGAAACACAAAAAGGAAGUCGGUAUAAGGUAGGGAAUUUUAUGCUAUUCUAUGGUGUAUCUGAUUUCUUUCCUUGAAUUAUUGGUUGGAAUUUUAUGUUAUUUUUAUGAUUUCAUAAAAUCUUUUAAAGUGUCAUUGCAUCUCGGUUUAUUGCAUUGAAAUGUUACCAUGAUGGUUAAACGUAUAUUGGUAUGAAGAUUCGUGGUUUUGUGUUGUCGAAAUGGUUUAUGGUGUGAUUGCAUUGCAAGAAGAAUAUGGAAUUAUCACAGAUUAUAUUCAGAGAAUUUAUUGGUGGCGAAGUGCUUAUGUGAUGCUACAGGCCUUAUCAUUUGAUAUAUUGUUUAUGUGGGACCGUAGGUCCUUGGGUGAAAGUCCCUAAAGCCCUCGAGGAAGACACUCCGAUGUGGGUGUAUGGGGUUGGUCCUGCCCCUGGGUUUUAGUCCCUAAAGACACAGGGUUGGUCCUGCCCUUGGGUAUGAGUCCCAAAAGACACGGGGUAUGACUUGCCCUUGGGUGAUGUCCCAGAAUAGUCAUUAUUAUAUUGAUCGAGUAUCUUGUGGAGCAUUGAUAUCUGCUGUGUAGAUUGUUGGGAGUCAGCAAAUUAUCAGUUGUGAAAGGAUGGAUGGGGAAAAGCAAUGAUGAAACCAACAAACACAUGCAUACAUGUUUGACAUGAUUACACAUUUGUUAAUGGUUAUGAAAUGUUUAUCAUGCAUGUUAUUAAACGUUUAAUUCAAGGUCUUUAAGGGUAUACUUAGGAUGGUUAUAAACUUUCCUACUGAGUUGUAAACUCACCCUAUUCCUUCCACCUAUAGAUGCAGGUCAGAAGACCUAUGCAGGAAAGAAUGCUUGAGCAAUGCUUUACUGUGAUUGGAUGCUGUUUGCUCAUAUUGAAAGUCUUUUGAGGCCAUGCCUUUUGUAUCAAGACUACACCUUUUGUUGGAAUGAUGUAAUGUAUAUAUUUGUUAGAUACACUUGUAGUAUGGGCCACCCAUAGUAAACAAUGGGGUUGGGUAUAUGUAAAUUAAUGUUGUACAAGUUUCUUUUGUGAAACAAAACAUAUUUUGUUAACUUAAUAGUCACAAUGUUUAAUACAGAAUGUACUCUUUAUAACAGGUUUUCUAUAUCCUAUUUUUGAACAAAUUCAAGUAGGAACUCAACAUUUAAAUUUUUGAGAGCACUUAUACUAUAUUUGAGUAUCAAUUCUUUAGUUGAAGAAUAAAUAAUAAUCAUAAGAAAAAAAAAAAUUGGGGUGUGACAGUCCAGGCCUCUUUGAAACUAUGCAUGCAAGAAAUUAUGAUUCUAUAAACUAAGCAUUUCUCUUUGGCUUACAUAUUUCACAAUAAUCACUAGCCCUUCACUAAUACUGUAAGGUAAAUAUUACCAGAAAACCUUUUGCAUUAGGCUUGCAGUUGAACUAAUUACUAACUGAAUCUUAAUUUUGUUGCUAAUAGACUACAAACAUUGACCAUAUAAUUUAGGAUUACUGAUUGAACUAGCUAAGUAUUCUCCCCAUCUUGAUUAUCAUGAUUCCAAUAUAAAGGAAAUAAUUCAUAGCUCAAAUUUCCCCUUUGAAUCAAUAUGCUCUACUUCAUUUUCACACUAUAGACAAAGUUCUUUGAUCGAAUAAAAAACUUACCCUCUUCAGACACAAAUGGAACCAAGGACCUUUGUUGCUAGCUAAAGUUGACUUUCAAUAUAUAUUUGUAUAUUUUUGCUCAACAAAAAACUUGUUUUUCCUCUGUUGAUCACUGAUAUUAACCCUUGAAGAAUACUCGAAGUGCCACCCUAAACUGGAAGAAGAGCAAAUAGCAAGCCCACAGCAAAGUCCUAUAGGAUAAGAGUGUUAAAUGUAACCUGACCAUGAAGAGAACCGAUACUAUUUCUUUCCAUAAAAAAUUUCCAAAACCACUGUUGUUGAAGACAUGGAGAGGAAUGCACCAACAAGUACCCCCUUAAAAGGUUUUCUAGGACAAUGAUAUGAGUGCCUGACAACCCCUUCACUUUCUUAAAGAUGCAUUGCCACCUCAUUCUUCAAGCUGCAGCAAUUUUCAAUGCUCAAUCUUUGAGGCUGGGGAGGCGUUUGGGCAAGCAUGUUGUGGUAUUAUUGAAAACUUGGAAGCACCCAAUGAAACAAAGAAUAUACUGAGAUAGAAUGGUGUCCCAAUUAUGAAACCAAAUGAAUAAAGAAGAAACUUAAAUAGAACCUAGGAUCGGGUCCUAAUGAUGAGAGACCAAUCAAACAAAUGAUUAAGCUUAUAUAGAACCUAGGAAUUCAACCCAAUGAUGAGAAACCAAUUGAAUAAUUGAUUAACUGUAUAUAGAACCUAGGAAUUCAACCCAAUAAUGAGAAACCAAAGGAACAAAUAAGAAAAUUAGAACCUAGGAUUGCAUUCCAAUGAUGAGAAACCAGAUAGACAAAGAAUAAAUUGAGAUAGAACUUGAUGAUGUCCCAAUGAUGAGAAAAAAAAUGAACCAAGAUUAAGCUUAGAUAAAACCUAAGAUAGUGUCGCUUUGAAGCCAAAGCAAACGAAGAAACGAUUAAGGUUAAGAUAGAACAUAGGAUGGUGUCCUAAGAAUGAAAACCAAAGGAAUAAAUAAUAAACUGAGAGAGAACCUAGGAUGGUGUUCCAAUGACGAGAAACCGAAGUCACAAACGAUUAAGUGUAGAUAGAACCUAUGAUGGGCUCUCAAUGAUGGGAAACCAAAGGUAUCAAUAAAUUGAUAUAGAACCUAGCAUGGUGUCCCAAUGAUAAGAAACCAAAUGAACAAAAAACAAACUUAAAUAAAACAUAGGAUGGUGUCCCUAUGACAACUAUCCAAAGGAACAAAGAAUAAAAUUGAAAUAGAACCUAUGAUGGUGCCCCCAUGAUGAGAAACCAAGGGAACAAAGAAAAAACAUAGAACUUUUAGGAUGGUGUCCUAGUGACGAGAAACCAAAGGAACAAACGAUUAAGCUUAAACAAAACCUAGGAUGGUCUCCCAUUGAUGAGAUACCAAACAAACAAACGGUUAAGCUUAGAUAGAACCUAGGAAGAAAUGAAAGGAAGAAACUUAGAUUAAACCUAGGAUGGAGUUCGAUUUAUGAGAAAUUAAAGCAAAAACGAUUAAGCUUAGAUAAAAUUUAGGAUGGCAUCCUAAUGAUGGUCUCACAUUGAUGCAAAACCAAAGGAACAAAGAAGCAACUGAGAUAGAACCUUGGGAUGUGUCCCAAUGAUAAGAAACCAAAGGAACUAACGAUUAAGCCUACAUAGAAUGUAGGAUGGCAUCCCAGCAAUGAGAAAACAAAUGACUAAAGAAUAAAUUGAGAUGGAACUCUAGAUGGUGUCACAUUGAUGCGAAACCUACAGAAGAAACAAUUAGGGUUAGAUAGAACGUAGUGUCCCUAUCAUAAGAAACCGAAGGAACAGACGAUUAACCUUAGCUAUAACUUAUGAUGGCAUCCCAAUGAUGAGAAACAAAAGGAACAAACAAUUAAGUUUAGGUAGAACUUGGGAUGGUGUCCCACUGACGAGAAACCAAAUUAACAAAGAAUAAAUGGAGAUGAACCUACGAUGGUGUCCCAAUGAUGAGAAACCAAAGGAACAAACAAUUAAGUUUAGAUAAAACCUAGGAUGGCAUCCUAAUGAUGAAAAAUCAAAUUAACAAAGAAUAAACUAAGAUAGAACCUAGGAUUGUGUCCCAAUAAUGAGAAACCAAAUCAACAAAGAAUAAACUGAGAUAGAACCUAGGGAUAUGUCCCAAUGAUAAGAAACCAAUGGAACAAAUGAUUAAGCUUAGAUAGAACCUAAAAUGUUGUCCCAAUGAUAGGAAAGCAAAUGAACUAAGAAUAAAAAAAGAUAGGAUGGUGUCCCGAUGAUGAGAAACUAAAGGAACAAAUGAUUCGGUUUAGAUAGAACCUACGAUGGCAUCCUAAUGAUGGGAAACCAAAUGAACAAAGAAUAAAAUUGGAUGGAACCUAGGAUGGUGUCCCAAUUAUGAGAAACUAAAUGAACAAAGAAUAAACUGAGAUAGAACCUGGGGAUGUGUACUAAUGAUAAGAAACCAACGGAACAAAUGAUUAAGCUUAAAUAGAACCUAUUCCUACUUGAUAGGAAAUAACCAUAACUGCUCAAAACAUUGCAAUAAUAGCUUCACUUUCAAAAAAAUAGAUUCAAAAGAAAUUGAAGGACGAACAGCAACACUAAAAGACUAUAAAAGCCUUCAACAACAAAAUAAUUUCACAAAUCAAAUUCUAAGCACCCUCUCCUCUCAAGUUGAUAGGAUAGAAGACAAAGUAGAGACACCUCAAAUUGUCAGUCAAAUAGUCACACCACAAUUUCUAGAAAAUCAUUCGAUUUUCAAACCUGCAGAGGUAGGGAAUAAGAUACUUAAACUUUCAAAUAGUGAUGACUUAAUCAAAUGUUUAACAAAAAGAAUUGAACAACUAGAUUAGGCGCAAAAACCUUCAACUUCAAAUACAAAGUCCUGGUUAGGAUGAUGACAUCCCAAUGAAGAGAAAGAAAAUAAACAAAGAAUAAACUAAGAUUGUACUAAUGAAUUAAAUAGGCAAUAAUGAUUAUUUUAGUACUUAAAUUUAAAUGUGCUUAAUUAGAUGUUAAAAUAAGUUUAGUGCUAAUCUUGUUUAAUUAUGAAUUGAACAUUAAGUGGGAUUAGUUAAUGACUUAAGCAUGCUUAUUAAGUUCUUAGGGGUUGAAUAUAGUUAUAAAAACCUAAAGGACCAAUGGGCAACUGUAGCAUUAAUAUUGGUUAACAAGGAGGACUGAAUUGCAAUAUUGGGAAAGUUGGGGUUGGUGGCAGCAUGGAGACCCCUAUAUGCCUGCAGCUUUGUUUUGGAGCAUUAUCCCUGUAGCAGCCUGGGUUAGAGAGAGAGUCUAGAGAGAGAUAGUGAAGAUUUGAGGUAAUGAAGUUGUUUAAUAUAGUAAAUUUUGUAUAUUUGGGUUCUUAAUUAUAUUUUGAAAGAAAUUAAUGGUGAAGUUUGUGUAAAAGUUGAGUGUAAUUAGUUAUAAACAUGUUUUAGUUAAAAAUCAGAAUUAAUUAAGGCUUAAAGUGUUUUAACUUAAGUAUUUUAUUAAUGGUAAGAUUGGCAUACAUCUUUGCUUAGUUUGGUUUGAUUGAAAAAUAGAUUAGUAAUGGGUUAGGCUUUAAGGAAAUCAAAAUAAUUAGUGAUUGGUAUUUAAUUGGGAAAUAUUAAUAUGCAUUGUAACUUUUUUGUCUACUUUGUGCUGCUAGCCUGUCACAUAUUACUCGAAUCUUGUCCGUAGUCUCUUGCACCAAUUCUGACCCAAUCAAACUAGCUUUACCAGAUUCCAUCCAACACAUAGGAGAUCUACAAGGCCUCCCAUACAGUGCUUUGGAAGUUGUUAUUGUAAGCAAAUUCGAUCAAGGGUAAAUGGCUCCACCCAAUUUCCUUUAAAAUUCAUCACACAUGCUCGUAACAUAUCUUCCAAAAUCUGAAUAAAUCUCUCUGACUGCCCAUCAAUUUGAGGAUAAAAUGCUGAACUCAAUCUUAUUUCAAUUCCCAAGGCUUUUUGUAAGGACUACCAAAACUGAGAUGUAAAUCUAGGGUCUCUAUCGGAGACAAUAGAGAGUGGUACCCUAUGCAACCUCACAAUUUCCUUCACAUACAAUUUACUCAAAGCAUGAAUUGAAUCAGUGACCCUCAUCGCCAAGAAAUGUGUUGAUUUCGUUAUCAACUAUUACCCAUACACUAUCUUUAUUUAUGAGAGUUCUUGGCAAUCCUACCAUUCCUUGACCUAGGCAAGCCUAAAACAAAAUCCAUAGAAAUAUCGACCCAAGGUGCACUAGGUACAGGUAAAGGAGUGUAUAAUCUAUGUGGUAAGACUCUAGAUUUAGCCUGCCUACAGGUAAUGCAUCUAGCACAAGCUCUCUCCACAUCACGUUUCAUCUUUGGCCAAAAAAAAUGUUCAUAUAAUACGUCUAAAGUCCUCCUUACACCAAAGUGACCCAUUAAACCACCUCCAUGUGCUUCAUGCACAAGCAACUCACACAUAGAACUGUUAGGCACACAAAGUCUAUUCUCUCUAAACAAGUACCCAUCUAGUCUAUAGAAUUUACCAAAUGCUGCCUUCUCACAUGCUCCAUACAGACUAGCAAAAUCAUUGUCAUUAGCAUACAAUUCCUUAACAUAUUCAAAUCCUAAUAACUUUGCAUUUAAAGUAGAGACCAAAGCAUACCUUCUUGAUAAUGCAUCGGCCACAAUAUUCUCCUUACCUUGUUUGUAUUUGACUACAUAAGGGAAGGUCUUAAUGAAUUCCACCCACUUGGCAUGCCUUCUAUUCAACUUAUCUUGUCCUUUUAAGUGCUUCAAGGACUCAUGGUCGGUAUGUAUAACAAAUUCUUUCGGUCAAAGGUAAUGUUGCCAAGUCUCCAAUGCUCUCACUAGUGCAUAAAGCUCCUUGUCAUAUGUUGGGUAGUUCAAAGUUGCCCCAUUUAGCUUUUCACUAAAAUAGGCUAUUGGCCGCUUCUCCUGCAUCAAAACAGUUGCAAUACCUAUUCCUGAGGCAUCACACUCAAUCUCAAAAGUUUUAGAAAAAUCGGGCAAUGAUAAUAAAGGAGCACUGUCACACCCCAAAUUUUUUUUUUCUUAUGAUUGUUAUUUAUUCUUCAACUAAAGAAUUGAUACUCAAAUAUAGUAUAAGUGCUCUCAAAAAUUUAAAUGUUGAGUUCCUACUUGAAUUUGUUCAAAAAGAGGAUAUAGAAAACUUGUUAUAAAGAGUACAUUUUGUAUUAAACAUUGUGACUAUUAAGUUAACAAAAUAUGUUUUGUUUCACAAAAGAAACUUGUACAAUAUUAAUUUACAUAUACCCAACCCCAUUGUUUACUAUGGGUGGCCCAUACUACAAGUGUAUCUAACAAAUAUAUACAUUACAUCAUUCCAACAAAAGGUGUAGUCUUGAUACAGAAGGCAUGGCCUCAAAAGACUUUCAAUAUGAGCAAAC